UACGAAGGGGGCUAGCGUUGCUCGGAAUCACUGGGCGUAAAGCGCACGUAGGCGGAUCUUUAAGUCAGGGGUGAAAUCCUGGAGCUCAACUCCAGAACUGCCUUUGAUAUUGGGGAUCUCGAGUCCGGAAGAGGUGAGUGGAACUCCGAGUGUAGAGGUGAAAUUCGUAGAUAUUCGGAAGAACACCAGUGGCGAAGGCGGCUCACUGGUCCGGUACUGACGCUGAGGUGCGAAAGCGUGGGGAGCAAACAGG
rnacentral:rRNA from 1 species